CUGUCAGGGGUAUGAUGUAUUAUUAUCGGGCACUUAAAAUGUUGGCUUUUCUUGAUUCAGCUUCUGAAAUGGACAUUCGU